rnacentral:rRNA from 1 species
CUGGCGGCAGGACUUAACACUAUGCAAGUCGGGCGGGGGGUAGGUUGCAUUCUGUGAACUGAUCGCGGGCGGCGGACGGGCUGAGUAAUGCUUAGGAAUCUGCCUAUUAGUGGGGGACAACAUUCCGAAAGGAAUGCUAAUACCGCAUACGCCCCACGGGGGAAAGCAGGGGAUUUUCGGACCUUGCGCUAAUAGAUGAACCUAAUUUGGAUUAACUAGUUGGUGGGGUAAAGGCCUACCAUUGGGACGAACUGUAGCGGGUCUGAGAGGAUGAUCCGCCACACUGGGACUGAGACACGGCCCAGACUCCUACGGGAGGCAGCAGUGGGGAAUAUUGGACAAUGGGCGGAAGCCUGAUCCAGCCAUGCCGCGUGUGUGAAGAAGGCCUUUUGGUUGUAAAGCACUUUAAGCGAGGAGGAGGCUACUUAGAUUAAUACUCUAGGAUAGUGGACGUUACUCGCAGAAUAAGCACCGGCUAAC